rnacentral:lncRNA from 1 species
AUAUGCCAAUAUAUACAUAAUUAACAUACCAAGUUCAACUUCGACGAAUAAUCUAAUCAUAUAUCAUAAAAAAAAAUUUCUGUCCAAUCUUAAACAACUUUUGAAGAAUGAACACUUACCUUGUCACUGCAUAAUCAACUUCAAACUAGAAGUAAUAUCAUAGUAUUACUUUCAUAUUAAAUUUGAGCUUGUAAUUCACUUAAAUAAUUAAUGAUUAAAUUAAUAAUCAUAAUAAAUAAUAA